CUUCAUAUCAUAGACAGAGAGACUACAGGUGAGCAGGGCUGGUGUUUUGCCUUCAUAUCAUAGAGACAGGAGAGACUACAGGUGAGCAGGGCUGGUGUUUUGCCUUCAUAUC